UACGCGAAGAACCUUACCAAGGCUUGACAUAUACGAGAACGGGCCAGAAAUGGUCAACUCUUUGGACACUCGUAAACAGGUGGUGCAUGGUUGUCGUCAGCUCGUGUCGUGAGAUGUUGGGUUAAGUCCCGCAACGAGCGCAACCCUCGUUCUAUGUUGCCAGCACGUAAUGGUGGGAACUCAUAGGAGACUGCCGGGGUCAACUCGGAGGAAGGUGGGGAUGACGUCAAAUCAUCAUGCCCCUUAUGUCUUGGGCUUCACGCAUGCUACAAUGGCCGGUACAAAGGGCUGCAAUACCGUAAGGUGGAGCGAAUCCCAAAAAGCCGGUCUCAGUUCGGAUUGAGGUCUGCAACUCGACCUCAUGAAGUCGGAGUCGCUAGUAAUCGCAGAUCAGCAACGCUGCGGUGAAUACGUUCCCGGGCCUUGUACACACC
rnacentral:rRNA from 1 species